GAUGAACGCUGGCGGCGUGCUUAACACAUGCAAGUCGAACGAAGUGGCGAACGGGAGAGUAAGGCGUAAUCAACCUGCCCUUCAGCGGGGUACAACAGUUGGAAACGACUGCUAAUACCGCAUACUGAAGGAGGGGAUUGCGUAUGAUUAGCUAGUUGGAGGGGUAACGGCCCACCAAGGCGAUGAUCAGUAGCCGGUCUGAGAGGAUGAUCGGCCAAAUUGGGACUGAGACACGGCCCAGACUCCUACGGGAGGCAGCAGUGGGGAAUCUGCCGCAAUGGACGAAAGUCUGACGGAGCAACGCCGCGUGAGUGAUGACGGCCUUCGGGUUGUAAAGCUCUGUUAAUCGGGACGCGGUACCGGAAUAGAAAGCCACGGCUAACUACGUGCCAGCAGCCGCGGUAAUAC
rnacentral:rRNA from 1 species